rnacentral:rRNA from 1 species
GCAUAUCGAUAGCGGAGGAAAAGAAACCAACAGGGAUUGCCUCAGUAACGGCGUAAGUGAAGCGGCAACAGCUCAAAUUUGAAAUCUGGCGCAAGCCCGAGUUGUAAUUUGCAGAGGGAUGUUUCGGGUGAGGCCGCGGUCCAAGUCCCUUGGAACAGGACGUCAUAGAGGGUGAGAACCCCGUACCUGGCCGUCGGCUCCCCCCGCUGUGAAACUCCUUCGACGAGUCGAGUUGUUUGGGAAUGCAGCUCUAAAUUGGUGGUAAAUUCCAUCUAAAGCUAAAUACCGGCCAGAGACCGAUAGCGCACAAGUAGAGUGAUCGAAAGAUGAAAAGCACUUUGAAAAGAGAGUUAAAAAGUACGUGAAAUUGUUGAAAGGGAAGCGCUUGCGGCCAGACUUGCCCGCGGUUGCUCAGCCCGCCCUUUGGCGGGUGCACUCUUCCGCGGUCAGGCCAGCAUCGGUUUGGGCGGUCGGACAAAGGCGCCGGGAACGUGGCCUCCCCUCGGGGAGGUGUUAUAGCCCGGUGCGCAAUGCGGCCAGCCCGGACCGAGGUUCGCGCUCUGCUAGGAUGCUGGCGUAAUGGCCGUAAGCGGCCCGUCUUGAAACACGGACCAAGGAGUCUAACAUCUAUGCGAGUGUUUGGGUGUCAAACCCGUGCGCGUAAUGAAAGUGAACGGAGGUGGGAACCGCAAGGUGCACCAUCGACCGAUCCCGAUGUCUUCGGAAGGAUUUGAGUAAGAGCAUAGCUGUUGGGACCCGAAAGAUGGUGAACUAUGCGUGAAUAGGGUGAAGCCAGAGGAAACUCUGGUGGAGGCUCGCAGCGGUUCUGACGUGCAAAUCGAUCGUCAAAUUUGCGUAUAGGGGGCGAAAGACUAAUCGAACCAUUUAGUAGCUGGUUCCUGCG